rnacentral:rRNA from 1 species
UACGUAGGUGGCAAGCGUUGUCCGGAUUUACUGGGCGUAAAGAGCGCGCAGGCGGUCGUUCAAGUCGCGUGUGAAAGCCCCCGGCUCAACUGGGGAGGGUCACGCGAUACUGAUCGACUCGAAGGCAGGAGAGGGUAGUGGAAUUCCCGGUGUAGUGGUGAAAUGCGUAGAUAUCGGGAGGAACACCUGUGGCGAAGGCGGCUCGCUGGGCCGGUCCUGACGCUGAGACGCGAAGGCGUGGGGAGCGAACGGG